UGUCACCCUAUUCCCUUUCUAGUGCACUACUUUUAACCAGAGCCCUUUGGCUAAUGGCACCCUAUUCCCUUUCUAGUGCACUACUUUUAACCAGAGCCUAUAGGGUAGGAGUCCACUCUGUGAAAUAGGGUGCCUUUUGGAAUGCUGCCAGUGUGUUUCUAAACCAUCAAAGCUUGGGCUUGUCCCAAAUCACACCCUAUUUCCCCAGCUAGUGCACUACAUGGGGGGGGGGAGGGGCGUUAGGGUGUGGUUUGGGACUCCUGGUGGUUUAUAUGUAAAGGUAUAUAUUGUAAAGCUAGAUGGCGGAGUCCUGUGAGGGCUGUCAUCUUGUUUUCCAGGCAGUCCAGACAUCUUCUCCAGGAUACGCUUCAUGUCUAUUAUCCUGUUCAACUGCCUCUGGCUGUUUGUCCCAAAGGGCACCCUAUGUAGUGUGAUACGUUUGAACAGGGUUCAUAGAGUUCUGGUCAGAAGUAGUGCACUAUAUAGGGUAUAGUGUGCCCUUUGGGACAUACCUUCUUACUUAUGUCCAGCCCUAAUCCCCUACACCCUAGGUUGAACCCUAACCCCCUACACCCUAGGUUGAACCUAACCCCCUACACCCUAGGUUGAACCCUAACCCCUACACUCUAGGUUGAACCCCCUACACUCUAGGUUGAACCCCCUGCACUCUAGGUUGAACCCCCUACACUCUAGGUUGAAACCCCUACACUCUAGGUUGAACCCCCUACACUCUAGGUUAAAACCCCUACACUCUAGGUUGAACCCUAAACCCCUACACUCUAGGUUGAACCCUAACCCCCCUACACUCUAGGUUGAAACACCCUACACUCUAGGUUUAAACCCCCUACACGCUAGGUUUAAACCCCCUACACUCUAGGUUGAACCCUAACCCCCUACACUCUAGGUUCAACCCCCUACACUCUAGGUUUAAACCCCCUACACUCUAGGUUGAAACCCCUACACUCUAGGUUGAACCCUAACCCCCUACACUCUAGGCUUAAACCCUCUACACUCUAGGUUUAAUCCCCCUACACUCUAGGUUGAACCCUAACCCCCUACACUCUAGGUUGAAACACCCUACACUCUAGGUUGAAUCCCCUACACUCUAGGUUGAACCCCCUACACUCUAGGUUUAAACCCCCUACACUCUAGGUUGAACCCUAACCCCCUACACUCUAGGUUGAAACACCCUACACUCUAGGUUGAACCCCCUACACUCUAGGUUGAACGCUAACCCCCUAUACUCUAGGUUGAAUCCCCUACACUCUAGGUUGAACCCCCUACACCCUAGGUUGAACCCCCUACACCCUAGGUUGAACCCCCUACACCCUAGGUUGAACCCCCUACACCCUAGGUUGAACCCCCUACACCCUAGGUUGAACACCCUACACUCUAGGUUGAAGCCCCUACACUCUAGGUUGAACACCCUACACUCUAGAUUGAACCCUAACCCCCUACACUCUAGGUUGAACCCUAACCCCCUACACCCUAGGUUGAACCCUAACCCCCUACACCCUAGGUUGAACCCCCUACACUCUAGGUUGAACCCCCUACACUCUAGGUUGAACCCUAACCCCCUACACUCUAGGUUGAAACACCCUACACUCUAGGUUGAACCCUAACCCCUUACACUCUUGAUUUGGAGUGGGGGCUAGGGAUCGGUUUGGAAUUUGGAAACUGUCUGUCGAUCAUUAAUGUACUGCACCUCUCCCCAACUUCUCCCCUCAGACACCCAGGGCCUGUAUCUGUUUCACAUCAAAGCUGCUCCAUAGCAGAGCACAGAUCUGGGAUCAGUUUACCCCUAACCCUGUGAUGUAUCUCAAGUGACACCCUAUUCCCUAUAUAGUGCGCUACUUUUCCCCAGGUUUCAUAGGGCCGUGGUCAGAAGUAGUGCGCGAUAUAGGGAAUAAGGUGUCACUCUCCGGAGAGGAAACUGUCUUAGGAUCUGUUUUUUUUUAUUUUUUUACUCCAAGGUUCCUGGACUGUGUGUGUGUGUUCUAUGUACUAAGUUGUAUUUCUACAAUGAACUGAUCUACGGUGCGUGGAUCUAUGUAAAGCCAAAGAACAUUCGUAACCUGUCUGUGUCUGGACACUGUCUGUACAUCUGUCUCUGUCCAUACAGUUAGUUCCGUUGUGAAAUAUCUUGUUUUAUUGUGUAUCUGUCUGUAUGGAAGAAAUGAACUUAGUUAUCCCAAUUUCCCUCAAUAGUCCAGUCUAUAAUGUGGAGUUAAAUGUAUUGGGUUUUAAAUCAACUUCUGGAGAAACAGUGGCUGAAGGUGACUUGUACUCAGAUCUGGUCGAAGAGGGUAAAUACACAAUAGGAAUAUUUCAUCCCAAAAAAUCCAAGAUGGUGACCCACUCUAAAUCCAAGAUGGUGACCCACUCUAAAUCCAAGAUGGUGACCCACUCUAAAUUCAAGAUGGUGACCCACUCUAAAUUCAAGAUGGUGACCCACUCUAAAUCCAAGAUGGUCACCCACUCUAAAUCCAAGAUGGUGACCCACUCUAAAUCCAAGAUGGUGACCCACUCUAAAUCCAAGAUGGUGACCCACUCUAAAUCCAAGAUGGUGACCCACUCUAAAUUCAAGAUGGUGACCCACUCUAAAUCCAAGAUGGUGACCCACUCUAAAUCCAAGAUGGUGACCCACUCUAAAUCCAAGAUGGUGACCCACUCUAAAUCCAAGAUGGUGACCCACUCUAAAUCCGAGAUGGUGACCCACUCUAAAUCCAAGAUGGUGACACACUCUAAAUCCGAGAUGGUGACCCACUCGAAAUCCAAGAUGGUGACCCACUCUAAAUCCAAGAUGGUGACACACUCUAAAUCCGAGAUGGUGACCCACUCGAAAUCCAAGAUGGUGACCCACUCUAAAUUCAAGAUGGUGGUCCCACUCUAAAUCCAAGAUGGUGACCCACUCUAAAUUCAAGAUGGUGGUCCCACUAUCUCCCCCUCUGAAUUAUAACGUUUUAGAUGAGAAAAUGUUGUUUUUCUGUCCAAUAAAUCAGCAAGCAUGUUCUCAUUUUAUAUAAAAUAUAUUUUACGAUUAUACGUUGGAUUAUACCUGAUUUUAGUUGUAAACUACAUUGCCCCUUCUGAAUGGUAUUUAAUGCUGUGUUAUUGAAGGUAUUGGGGAGGGGGGGGGGGGGGGUGUAUCCUGGGUGUGUGCCUUUUUUAAUCCCAUCCUAACUUCAAUCACUGAUUGUCAUAACCUGUCAUUACAUGCAUUAGCCUCUAGGUGCUGUUGUUUUUUAAAUCACUGUCAUUUUCAUUUAUUAUUUUCAACCAACCAGCUCUUCACUAUGUAAAUAUGUACAUUGUCAUAUUUCCUAUGUUUUUAGUCGUCAACCCGCUGCCAGCCAGCCAGUCUCUUGAGGUUUAUAAACUACAGACGACACAGAUUGCUGGAUUCACUUGUACAGUUCUUUUUAAAAAAGGUACUUCGUCAAUAAAUACAUUGAAUAAAACAUGA